rnacentral:rRNA from 1 species
CGUCAAGUCAUCAUGGCCCUUAUGUCCAGGGCUACACACGUGCUACAAUGGGCGGUACAAAGUGAGGCGAAGCCGCGAGGCCAGAGCGAAGCACUAAAGCCGCCCGUAGUCCGGAUUGAAGUCUGAAACCCGACUUCAUGAAGUUGGAAUCGCUAGUAAUCGCGCAUCAGCAUGGCGCGGUGAAUACGUUCCCGGGCCUU